rnacentral:rRNA from 1 species
GAUGAACGCUGGCGGCGUGCCUAAUACAUGCAAGUCGAGCGAACGGACGAGAAGCUUGCUUCUCUGAUGUUAGCGGCGGACGGGUGAGUAACACGUGGAUAACCUACCUAUAAGACUGGGAUAACUUCGGGAAACCGGAGCUAAUACCGGAUGAUAUUUUGAACCGCAUGGUUCAAAAGUGAAAGACGGUCUUGCUGCCACUUAUAGAUGGAUCCGCGCUGCAUUAGCUAGUUGGUAAGGUAACGGCUUACCAAGGCAACGAUGCAUAGCCAACCUGAGAGGGUGAUCGGCCACACUGGAACUGAGACACGGUCCAGACUCCUACGGGAGGCAGCAGUAGGGAAUCUUCCGCAAUGGGCGAAAGCCUGACGGAGCAACGCCGCGUGAGUGAUGAAGGUCUUCGGAUCGUAAAACUCUGUUAUUAGGGAAGAACAUAUGUGUAAGUAACUGUGCACAUCUUGACGGUACCUAAUCAGAAAGCCACGGCUAACUACGU